GGGACACGUGGUAUCCUGUCUGAAUAUGGGGGGACCAUCCUCCAAGGCUAAAUACUCCUGACUGACCGAUAGUGAACCAGUACCGUGAGGGAAAGGCGAAAAGAACCCCGGCGAGGGGAGUGAAAAAGAACCUGAAACCGUGUACGUACAAGCAGUGGGAGCACGCUUAGGCGUGUGACUGCGUACCUUUUGUAUAAUGGGUCAGCGACUUAUAUUCUGUAGCAAGGUUAACCGAAUAGGGGAGCCGAAGGGAAACCGAGUCUUAACUGGGCGUUAAGUUGCAGGGUAUAGACCCGAAACCCGGUGAUCUAGCCAUGGGCAGGUUGAAGGUUGGGUAACACUAACUGGAGGACCGAACCGACUAAUGUUGAAAAAUUAGCGGAUGACUUGUGGCUGGGGGUGAAAGGCCAAUCAAACCGGGAGAUAGCUGGUUCUCCCCGAAAGCUAUUUAGGUAGCGCCUCGUGAAUUCAUCUCCGGGGGUAGAGCACUGUUUCGGCAAGGGGGUCAUCCCGACUUACCAACCCGAUGCAAACUGCGAAUACCGGAGAAUGUUAUCACGGGAGACACACGGCGGGUGCUAACGUCCGUCGUGAAGAGGGAAACAACCCAGACCGCCAGCUAAGGUCCCAAAGUCAUGGUUAAGUGGGAAACGAUGUGGGAAGGCCCAGACAGCCAGGAUGUUGGCUUAGAAGCAGCCAUCAUUUAAAGAAAGCGUAAUAGCUCACUGGUCGAGUCGGCCUGCGCGGAAGAUGUAACGGGGCUAAACCAUGCACCGAAGCUGCGGCAGCGACACUGUGUGUUGUUGGGUAGGGGAGCGUUCUGUAAGCCUGUGAAGGUGUGCUGUGAGGCAUGCUGGAGGUAUCAGAAGUGCGAAUGCUGACAUAAGUAACGAUAAAGCGGGUGAAAAGCCCGCUCGCCGGAAGACCAAGGGUUCCUGUCCAACGUUAAUCGGGGCAGGGUGAGUCGACCCCUAAGGCGAGGCCGAAAGGCGUAGUCGAUGGGAAACAGGUUAAUAUUCCUGUACUUGGUGUUACUGCGAAGGGGGGACGGAGAAGGCUAUGUUGGCCGGGCGACGGUUGUCCCGGUUUAAGCGUGUAGGCUGGUUUUCCAGGCAAAUCCGGAAAAUCAAGGCUGAGGCGUGAUGACGAGGCACUACGGUGCUGAAGCAACAAAUGCCCUGCUUCCAGGAAAAGCCUCUAAGCAUCAGGUAACAUCAAAUCGUACCCCAAACCGACACAGGUGGUCAGGUAGAGAAUACCAAGGCGCUUGAGAGAACUCGGGUGAAGGAACUAGGCAAAAUGGUGCCGUAACUUCGGGAGAAGGCACGCUGAUAUGUAGGUGAAGUCCCUCGCGGAUGGAGCUGAAAUCAGUCGAAGAUACCAGCUGGCUGCAACUGUUUAUUAAAAACACAGCACUGUGCAAACACGAAAGUGGACGUAUACGGUGUGACGCCUGCCCGGUGCCGGAAGGUUAAUUGAUGGGGUUAGCCGCAAGGCGAAGCUCUUGAUCGAAGCCCCGGUAAACGGCGGCCGUAACUAUAACGGUCCUAAGGUAGCGAAAUUCCUUGUCGGGUAAGUUCCGACCUGCACGAAUGGCGUAAUGAUGGCCAGGCUGUCUCCACCCGAGACUCAGUGAAAUUGAACUCGCUGUGAAGAUGCAGUGUACCCGCGGCAAGACGGAAAGACCCCGUGAACCUUUACUAUAGCUUGACACUGAACAUUGAGCCUUGAUGUGUAGGAUAGGUGGGAGGCUUUGAAGUGUGGACGCCAGUCUGCAUGGAGCCGACCUUGAAAUACCACCCUUUAAUGUUUGAUGUUCUAACGUGGACCCGU
rnacentral:rRNA from 1 species